ensembl:snoRNA
ACUGAGACUUAAAGUUACAUCUAGGCAUUGCCUGUUGUCCUGGUGUGCUAAAGUACUCGAAAAGUAAUCGCUAACUCUGUGCACUGGCUGGUCAUCUCAUGAUCCUUUCAGUCACCGGGUUAGGAAUAUUU